rnacentral:rRNA from 1 species
UUGCGGUAAAAAAGCUCGUAGUUGGAUUUCUGUUGAGGGCGACCGGUCCAUACCACGUAUGCGCAUCUGGUUCGGCCUCGGCAUCCUCUCGACGGACGUUUCUGCGCUUGAUUGCGUGGAGCGGACUUCGGGACUUUUACUUUGAGGAAAUUAGAGUGUUCACGGCAGGCUAUCGCCAGAAUACAUUAGCAUGGAAUAAUACUAUAGGAUCUCGGUUCUAUUUUGUUGGUUUCUAGAAUUGAGUUAAUGAUUAAUAGGAACAAUUGGGGGCAUUCGUAUCAACACGUCAGAGGUGGAAUUCUUGGAUUGUGUUGCGACGAACUACUGCGAAAGCAUUUGCCAAGGAUGUUUUCAUUGAUCAAGAACGAAAGUAAGGGGAUCGAAGACGAUUAGAUACCGUCGUAGUCUUUACCAUAAACUAUGCCAACUAGGGAUGGGACAUCGUUCACUUACGACUUGUUCCGCACCUUAUGAGAUAUCAAAGUUUUUGGGUUCCGGGGGGAGUAUCGUCGCAAGACAGAAACUUAAAGGAAUUGACGGAAGGGCACCACCAGGAGUGGAGCCUGCGGCUU